GUAUGACAACUGUCACUGUGAGAGUAGAAUUUUAUAAAAUACUCCUGUCACAGACGUCUACAGGUGGAAAACUAUGUAAUGUAAUGUUAAUUAAUACGUUUAUAACGAUAAUUUCCACCUCCACUAGUUUCAUCUCUUUUUGUUUCGCAAUGUAUUAUGUUUUCCAUCUUUUGAGCUUUUUUGCCGGUUAUUAGCGUGCUCAUCACUGUAUACCAAAAACCUACUAAAAAAUAUUGCUUACUAGAAUUAAAAAAAAAUAUAUCAAAAAUCUAUCCAAAAAGUAGAAAUCUGCUGAAUGUGGCAACGCUGUUACAAAAUAAACACCACUGUCCAACUCAAAAUUCAAUUGUCAAAUAUUCUUCUUCUUUUCAAUUAGCCUUGUACCACAUAUAUUAGCGAUCUACAUUAUGUGUCGCCAUCUCUAAUUCCGGAAGCUCACUAUAUAUAUGGAACCAAUUUUUUCCAUUGAGUUCGCAGCCCAUGGUCACGUGGUACAUUCUGAAAUUUUGGGGGACGACCUUAUGUGUAUUCCUUAUGGGUGAUUUACAAAAACAAGAGAUUUUUUAAAAUUUAACUACUGAUUUUGUGCUAAUGUAUCAAUACAUUAAUAGAAAUUUACUAUAAAUACUCUAUAUGGUAGAAAAUGUCUGAUAUACUACAUAAAUAUAAUUUCGAUAUUCAAAUUUAGGAAGAGAUUUUGAGGUUAACAGCCGAAAUGUGAGGUUGCGACUGAUCAUUUUGUAAACAAAAGUUGAAAAGACAAUGUUUGUCCUCCUAAUCUUAAGUGUUUUUAAUUCCUAUAAUGUUGAAAUUUUGCUUUCUCUAUUUAAUUAGAGUAUUUUUUAAGAUAUCACCGUAAUUCGGUCUUAAAUUUCGAUGAAAUAUAGUUUUUUAGUGAUAUUCUCCAAGCAAAAGGGUGAACUUUUGUAAACCAUUCUAUUUUUUAUAAUAAAAAUGAUAAUUUGCUUUGCCCCGGACUGUAAACACUAUAAUGAAAGAUGGUUAUGUAGAUUCUUUAUGUUUACAAAGGAUCUAGUUGAAAAAAAGAGGUAGAUUUCAUUACUAAGUAAGAAAAUAUAGUGAUAGUAAAGAACUGAAUUUAUCCCUUUAUUACUAUUGACUCACAGACGGAAAGAUAGGGAACCAUUCUUUAGUUUGCUGGUGCCACUUUGUGAAUUCUGACCAACAAAAUGACCCAACAUUUUUAGAGCAUAUCAAGCCAAAGGUUUUUUUGAUGGACAAUUAACCUUUACAUCUAAAUUAAAAGAGUAAAGUAUAUUUUGCUUCUUGAAAUGGCAUUCAAUAUCAACUUGAGAAAGAAACAGUUUGAUUUGUUGGUAAUGACCGAAGAUGAAAUCCAAGAACUUAUGGAUUCUGUUGAAACUGAUUGGAAAAAAGCAAAACAUCCCAUUGAUGACAUUCGCAGUGACAGUAUUGAUCACUUUCCACUUUAGCUCAGCAAAGAGGAUGGUAAAAAAAUGCAGCCAGGAGAAGGGCAUGGCUCUAACCCUCAACAAUGAGCAUUACAGAAAAUUAACAGUUCCCUAGGUAACCAUCCACUGAAAAUCUUAGAUUCAUCAGGUAACCAUAUUGUCUUAUUUGGACCUACCAUCUGACCCCUACUGAAGAUUGUAAAGAACUCAAGACAGCACCUUAAGAAGCCUUCAGACCAUCAGCUAAGAUCCUUAAUAAAAUAUAUAGCUGGCCUGUAAACAUAGACUAUUUUUAUAUAAAGUAACAUCAUAAAUUCUAAAAUGUAGAUCUUGAAUUGUGACCAUAAUAAAAUGAGAAAAUAAAGCAUUUAUACUGAA